rnacentral:rRNA from 1 species
UUAACUUCGAAGAAAUCGGAGGCUAAUACCCGCAAUAAUAUCUACGGAUUAAAGCUAUUUAUGCGCUAGAGGAGGGGCCUGCGUCUGAUUAGCUUGUUGGUGAGGUAAAAGCUCACCAAGGCGACGAUCAGUAGCUGGAUCGAGAGGUUGACCAGCCACACUGGGACUGAGAUACGGCCCAGACUCCUACGGGAGGCAGCAGUAAGGAAUCUUCCACAAUGGGCGAAAGCCUGAUGGAGCAAUGCCGCGUGCAGGAUGACGGCCUUCGGGUUGUAAACUGCUUUUAUAUGGGAAGAUUAUGACGGUACCAUAUGAAUAAGGACCGGCUAACUACGUG